GACGGAGGAUGCAAGCGUUAUCCGGAAUGAUUGGGCGUAAAGCGUCCGCAGGUGGCAGUUCAAGUCUGCUGUCAAAGACCGGGGCUUAACUUCGGAAAGGCAGUGGAAACUGAACAGCUAGAGUAUGGUAGGGGCAGAGGGAAUUCCUGGUGUAGCGGUGAAAUGCGUAGAGAUCGAGAGGAACACCUGCGGCGAAGGCGGGUUGCUGGGCUGACACUGACGCUGAUGCGCGAAAGCGUGGGGAGCAAACAGG
rnacentral:rRNA from 1 species